AUUGAACGCUGGCGGCAGGCUUAACACAUGCAAGUCGAGCGGAGAUGAGGUGCUUGCACCUUAUCUUAGCGGCGGACGGGUGAGUAAUGCUUAGGAACCUGCCUAUUAGUGGGGGACAACAUUCCGAAAGGAAUGCUAAUACCGCAUACGUCCUACGGGAGAAAGCAGGGGAUCUUCGGACCUUGCGCUAAUAGAUGAGCCUAAGUCGGAUUAGCUAGUUGGUGGGGUAAAGGCCUACCAAGGCGACGAUCUGUAGCGGGUCUGAGAGGAUGAUCCGCCACACUGGGACUGAGACACGGCCCAGACUCCCACGGGAGGCAGCAGUGGGGAAUAUUGGACAAUGGGGGGAACCCUGAUCCAGCCAUGCCGCGUGUGUGAAGAAGGCCUUAUGGUUGUAAAGCACUUUAAGCGAGGAGGAGGCUACUGAGACUAAUACUCUUGGAUAGUGGACGUUACUCGCAGAAUAAGCACCGGCUAACUCUGUGCCAGCCGCCGCCGUAACAC
rnacentral:rRNA from 1 species